ACUUAUCUAAUAUAACUAGUAUACUUGACUUCCAAUCAAGAAGUUUGUCACACAAGUUAAGUA
rnacentral:tRNA from 1 species